UUUAUGGAGAGUUUGAUCCUGGCUCAGAGUGAACGCUGGCGGCGUGCCUAAUACAUGCAAGUCGAACGAUGAAGCUUCUAGCUUGCUAGAAGUGGAUUAGUGGCGCACGGGUGAGUAACGCAUAGGUCAUGUGCCUCUUAGUUUGGGAUAGCCAUUGGAAACGAUGAUUAAUACCAGAUACUCCCUACGGGGGAAAGAUUUAUCGCUAAGAGAUCAGCCUAUGUCCUAUCAGCUUGUUGGUAAGGUAAUGGCUUACCAAGGCUAUGACGGGUAUCCGGCCUGAGAGGGUGAACGGACACACUGGAACUGAGACACGGUCCAGACUCCUACGGGAGGCAGCAGUAGGGAAUAUUGCUCAAUGGGGGAAACCCUGAAGCAGCAACGCCGCGUGGAGGAUGAAGGUUUUAGGAUUGUAAACUCCUUUUGUUAGAGAAGAUAAUGACGGUAUCUAACGAAUAAGCACCGGCUAACUCCGUGCCAGCAGCCGCGGUAAUACGGAGGGUGCAAGCGUUACUCGGAAUCACUGGGCGUAAAGAGCGCGUAGGCGGGAUAGUCAGUCAGGUGUGAAAUCCUAUGGCUUAACCAUAGAACUGCAUUUGAAACUACUAUUCUAGAGUGUGGGAGAGGUAGGUGGAAUUCUUGGUGUAGGGGUAAAAUCCGUAGAGAUCAAGAGGAAUACUCAUUGCGAAGGCGACCUGCUGGAACAUUACUGACGCUGAUUGCGCGAAAGCGUGGGGAGCAAACAGGAUUAGAUACCCUGGUAGUCCACGCCCUAAACGAUGGAUGCUAGUUGUUGGAGGGCUUAGUCUCUCCAGUAAUGCAGCUAACGCAUUAAGCAUCCCGCCUGGGGAGUACGGUCGCAAGAUUAAAACUCAAAGGAAUAGACGGGGACCCGCACAAGCGGUGGAGCAUGUGGUUUAAUUCGAAGAUACACGAAGAACCUUACCUAGGCUUGACAUUGAGAGAAACCGCUAGAAAUAGUGGAGUGUCUAGCUUGCUAGACCUUGAAAACAGGUGCUGCACGGCUGUCGUCAGCUCGUGUCGUGAGAUGUUGGGUUAAGUCCCGCAACGAGCGCAACCCCCUUUCUUAGUUGCUAACAGGCCAUGCUGAGAACUCUAAGGAUACUGCCUCCGUAAGGAGGAGGAAGGUGGGGACGACGUCAAGUCAUCAUGGCCCUUACGCCUAGGGCUACACACGUGCUACAAUGGGGUGCACAAAGAGAAGCAAUACUGCGAAGUGGAGCCAAUCUUCAAAACGCCUCUCAGUUCGGAUUGUAGGCUGCAACUCGCCUGCAUGAAGCUGGAAUCGCUAGUAAUCGCAAAUCAGCCAUGUUGCGGUGAAUACGUUCCCGGGUCUUGUACUCACCGCCCGUCACACCAUGGGAGUUGUGUUUGCCUUAAGUCAGGAUGCUAAAUUGGCUACUGCCCACGGCACACACAGCGACUGGGGUGAAGUCGUAACAAGGUAACCGUAGGUGAACCUGCGGUUGGAUCACCUCCUUU
rnacentral:rRNA from 1 species